GCGUUCUGUAAGCCUGUGAAGGUGUGUCGUGAGGCAUGCUGGAGGUAUCAGAAGUGCGAAUGCUGACAUAAGUAACGAUAAAGCGGGUGAAAAGCCCGCUCGCCGGAAGACCAAGGGUUCCUGUCCAACGUUAAUCGGGGCAGGGUGAGUCGACCCCUAAGGCGAGGCCGAAAGGCGUAGUCGAUGGGAAACGGGUUAAUAUUCCCGUACUUGGUGUUACUGCGAAGGGGGGACGGAGAAGGCUAUGUUGGCCGGGCGACGGUUGUCCCGGUUUAAGCGUGUAGGUGUGUGUUCCAGGUAAAUCCGGUUCACUUUAACACUGAGGCGUGACGACGAGGCACUACGGUGCUGAAGCAACAAAUGCCCUGCUUCCAGGAAAAGCCUCUAAGCAUCAGGUAACACGAAAUCGUACCCCAAACCGACACAGGUGGUCAGGUAGAGAAUACCA
rnacentral:rRNA from 1 species